GCUGUGGGGCAUCCAAAGAUUAUCCAACUUGAAUAAACGCUUGGAGCUUCAAUGCUCUGGAGCCUGGUCUUGUUGUCGCCAAGGAGCAUCACUGACAUCCUUCCUCCCAUAGAUGAUCUGCCUGUACAAGCACCACCUGGACUGGACACAGCUAGACAAACUUAUAUUUUUGAGAAGAUCAGGGAGUUUUGCAACGAAGAGGCUAUGGACAUCACAUGCCAAGCGCCAAAGUCAAGGGCAGGACUGAAACAGGCUCUCCGAAUAUAGAUUCCCUUGUUCAUCCGUGGUUCAGAGGGACCAGUUCAUCACUGGGGUCAUCACAUGUCAUAUACUGCUGCGACUAUUUAUUUUCUAUCCUGCUGCUCAGCCACUUUACCCCUGAUUGUAUGCAUAUAACUACCUCAUCUAUCACCAAUAUCACUGAUA